CAAAGUUUUGGCACAAGUUGCGGGUUUGGCCGCGCCGUGCCCGCGGCGGGCGGCGGCCCCUGUCAGGCACGGGCGUCCCUCAGGGCGGCCCGCGCGCCGCCGCCUUCCCGCCUCCCCCUCACCUCAGGCCGGGCGUUCACCCCGCGUUCAUUGCUCCGUCUCCCCCCGCCGCCAAUCUCCAUGGAAAAUACCUGUUGAUAAUUCCAAAAUAUUUUUUUUUCCUCGCCCACCACCCCUAGAUGCCGCCAAAAAAAAAAAAAAAAGUCCUUUUUUAAUUUCUUCUUUUUUUUUUUUCAAACCGCUGGUUCUCUCCACUUGAGAGUGGAAGACUAACGUGGAUUGCAGUUUCUGAGGGACUAAAAAAAUAUGAAUCUCGUUGACAAUUGACACAUUUUCUGCUUGCAAGCAGCAGUAAAACUUCCCCACCAAAAUGCGAAAUUAAAAAAAAAAUCAGGUUAAAUGAUGAAGCUUUCCAGCAUGCAUCUGCCAUCAGAACUCAUCCUUUUCACUGCAAGAUAUUCAGGUUUGCUCCUUCUGUCAAUUAAUAUCAAAUACACUCGAAAAUUGUUCAGUUACUCUAGAUUUAUCCCAACAAAACUGCUUGGGAUCUGGACAAUCUCUCCUUAGGUGCACAGCUCAGCCUGAGACCCACCAGAUCAGACCCCCAGGUAUAAUUUACCAGCAGCCACUCUGAGAUCUGGUAGUUUUAUUGCAUGUCCUACUCAGUGUCUGUCCAUGGGCUCAUCCUGCUCUUUAUGCCGGUGACAGCAAACACGGAGAGCCUGAUCCUGCUUCUUCAGGAAUGUGGAAAUCAGGGGACAUUCCUUGUCAGUGACACUGAUCCAGGCCCAGAGUGGACGGUCCUGGAGAGGAACGCAGGUAACACCUCCAUCACGGAGACACAAAGCAAUCAGAUGGUUUCCUCUGCAUAAAGGAGAAUUAAGGGAGAAUGGGAAAAAAGGAGCAGCCUUUGAGCCCCCAGCUCAUGCCCUACUGACUGUACACUGCAUGAAAGAAACAUCUGAAAAUUCGGACUGGUACUAGAUGAAACACUCUUGUAUUUUAUUUCCAGACCAAGUGCUCAACUCCAGCGAUCCUGGCGAAUUCCAGACUGGCACUGACUGUCCUUACAACUGAUCCAUGCUCGGGUCUGUUAGAGAGGGGUCCUGAGAGCCCCAGGUGCAGAAUUACAUGCUCAGUGACAGCAGUUUCACACUGGUGCUUGUGAUUACAACUGUGUCAUUCUUCUUAGAGUCCUGAAAGACUGCACUGGUAAACCUUCACCGUGUGAGUGAGAACUCAGCAAAACCUAGAGCUUCACUUCCAGAUUUGUAAAUAACAGCCUUUCUGUUGAGUCCUGGAAGGCCAGCGGAGUCCUGCACACCGCUCUGGGAUUUUCCAUCCUGUGCUUGUUUACAGUCACACCAAAUGAGUGCGAAACGGGAGCAUUCCGAGCUUGCCGUGUUUUUCACAGCUUUACACCAACUCUGCAGAACUGUGCUCAGAGCAACACUGUGAGGAGCAAGAACCCCUGUGUUCCACUUAGGUUUUAUAAUGACAGCUUCACAAUUUUCAGUAUUCCAAUGGGGAGGCAGGGGAUACGGCAGAAGUCCUGUAAAGAUUAUUCUUCCUUCAGCACAAGGCGCUGCGAGCUUUGGAGCAAACUGUGAGGGCCAGGCUGGAUGAGAUGGCCAGGCUUGUAGGGCAGCAUCAUUUGGUGUGUAAGCAGGAACCCAGCAGUGUCAGAUCUGGGUAUCUGAUGUUUGCCCUGCAGUUUUCUGGGCACAGGUAGCAGUGGUGGCACAAGACACAAGACUCUGGUAAAGAACAAACUUACUGCUUGCCUUCGGACUCUAUUUAAGCUUCAGAUGACUUUACUCUUGGUUUUUUGGGACUCACUGCAGGGUAGGAAAUACCUGCAAGUUCUUCCCAUCUGCCAUGUGCUCUGAGGGUUCACUGCAGUUCUGAACCAGGUGUGGCCACAAGAACAAAACCACCGUUGUGCUGAGGCCCUGUUGAGCACGGUGACCACAGAGCCGAGCUCCCUUGGAGGGGCUGCCUGUGGUUUCAACCUGUUUAAUGUCCCAGGCUGGGCUGCACUGCUGGAGUUGUGCUCUGCAAACUGUGCCUCGAGUGUGGCAGCUGCAGCUCCCAGGCAGGGUGCAGCAAGCUGCAGGUCCCUGCUCUGCAGCCUGACGGCUCAGUUGUGUUCACUGCCAGCAGAAGCAGCUCCUCAUCCCCAAGUGGCCCAGUCACAGAGCAGGAAAUACAGCAGAGCCGUUUUCACACCGGUGACAUUUGCAAGCCUUCUGCACACUAAGACCUAACUUUAAAAGAAAUGUGUGAGCUGCUGUUUUCCAGUAAGGCAGGAUGGACAGGAAGACAUGUCUGUCUCUGCAGCCACUACAAGAAGCUCUGGUGAUGUAUUUUCCAGUUUGCCAGGCAAACAAGCACCAGGCACCAAUAUCAAAACCAGCCCAGAUUCCAAUGAAAACCAGCAAAGAAAUACUACAGUAGGAAUGAAAUCGCUUCAUUUUUCUUGGGCUUCUCUGCAUCAUCUUUCCAGACAAACGAGUGCUCCACCCUGCCCGAUUCCUUCAGUUUGCCUGAGAGGACUCUCCCUUCUUGCCCUCUGGGCUGGACUCCUGCUUUCCUCCCACUCCUGAGCCCUUGAAGGCUGUGCCAAUGAGUGAGCUGGCACUGCCGGGCUGCGGCACAGCCCCGCCUCUGCGGUGGGCCCGGGGCAGGGAAUACCCCACCCUUUGGCAGGGGCAGAGGAGGCCCCGGACUUGCUUUCAUCCCUGCCCUGUCUGGGAAAGCUCCUGAACCUGCUCUGCGUCUGGCAGUGCAGGAAUCCCCGGCAGCAAAGCCGAGGGUUGGCUCGCCUGGAGUGAUUCCUGCAGGCAGGCUGGUGUCCAACACCCCUUGUCCGUGUGAAAUAAUCAUCCACGUGGCACCUGUGAGAGCUGCAGGCUCAAAGCACAGCUUGAAGGGACACUCUGGGGUCAAGCCCCACAUCUGAGUGCAAAGCAAGUGCCACCUGACCAGUGUCACAUGCCUGAAACAAAUAAUCAGAAGCACAAACGCCUCUGUCCCUCUGAUCCUCCUCGUAACACCAACCGUGCAGCCUGGUGGGAGCAUCCCUCAUUGUUUUGUUACUGGUCAUUUGAGCAAAGGAAGCGGAGGAGAGAGUGGAAGCAAAGCCCAGGGCUGGAAAAUGGAAAUGACUGUGAGGAAAGGAAUGUGGAGCUUCAAAACGACUCAGAGUUGGCAGGGGAGAGGAGAGCAGGGUGAAGGGGGAAGGAGGAGCAGCAGGAGGUAAAUCACAGUGACAGGACAGCACAGUCCCUGGAGCGCCGCGUGUGGCACGGGCGGCCCCUCGGUGUCUCUGCUGGUGCCACACAGCCCUCGGCUGGCACUGCCCGACACUUCCUUCCCUCGCCAGCCCAGAGCCCAGACACAGCUUGUGCCAGGGUGAGUCCAACACGUCUGCUGAGCUCUGCCCCAGGACACUGCUCAGAGCAGAAGGGAGAGCCAUGAAAUAUCUUGCCAAGCUGGUGUCUGUGUAUGAGAACCAUUGGUGUGAAGCCUCUGUGCCCAGACCUGUGAGAAUGUGGGUGCAGAGUCUUCCAGUGCCAGCUCCCUCUCCCAGUGGAGGCAGUGGGACAGAGUGAUGCUAAACACAAAAUAUUUUUAGUGAGCCAAACAAUCAAACUCUGCCUAAACCUCUACCUGAAGAGCGACAGCAGCCCCCUGCCCUAGCACACUGCCUAAAACCCCUUCUUUCCUCUACAAAAGCAAAAAAAGGGAGGCCCUGGGGUCCCCGCAGCUCUCUGGGAGGGGACACGCUGUGGGUCCUCCCCACGCAGCCGAGGCAGCUGCCCCGGCAGAUGCUGCAGCCUGGCAGCCGCUCGCACAGAAGGGAGGGACAAGCCCGGAUGUGAAGGAUUUACAGCCCUGGCAGACACCGGUGACAGGCGAUGGCUCGGUCGGGAAUUUAAACAGUGCAGCGAGAGGCCGAGCCCUGCCAGCGAUCAAACACCGCGGAGAGCCCAGGGCAGAGCCCGAGGCCCCAAAGGGGCUGCAGGAGGCCGGGCCGGGCCGUGGCAGCGUCUGCAGGAGCCCGUGGGGCUGGGAUGGGCUUUUCUCUUGACACAGGGAGGGGAGGAAAGCAGCGCUGUGCCCAAGCCCUCCCCGGGGAGCAGCCAAGGCCGGGGGAUGUGUGUGCUCAGCAGCCUGAGCGGGGGCAGCAGAACCGGGGGGAGCCCUAAAGCAGGAGCUGCCCCCGGGAAGGUCCCGAUCCCAGAGCUCUGCCCUGCCCCAAAGCCCAGGCUUCCCACACGGAGAGGAAACGCUGGGAAUUGUGCACACCAGCUGCAGGCUCAGAUCCUCACUCUCUAUUGCUCCCAUCCACGUUUGCAUUCCCUCCAAGCAACUUCAGGGGAGACCUUACCCAGGAGGGAUUCAAUCACACCCUGGUUUACGAUUUAACUCUGGCUCUGCUUCAUGCCCUGCAAUUCUCUGUGCAUUUAGCAGACAAAGUCACUUCUUCCACUUUAUAAACGUGGAAGGAACGUUCAAACCAGAGCUGGACUUCCAAAGAAGAAGCCGCCAGCUCCCGAGCUGCCUCGCUGGCAUUUUUAAGGUGUAUUAUUUACAUGCUGGAAAGGAGCCAACCAAAACCUCUCUUAAGAAAAUUUUCCCUUACUUACAGAACAAAGUCUACUGCUUCGUGAAAAAUGAAUAAUUAAAUUCUGAGGUUUGGGCAUCUUCAUUUAUUGCUGAGAUCUUGGCAUCAUCACUUUUCCAUAUUUGGGGAAAAUGAGAAUAAAAGUCAAUGUUAAGUGAUGUACUAAACUAAGAUUAGUCUGUUUACCCCAGAGUAACUCUUUGGAUAAAGGAAAACUAUUUUCAUACUUCGCAUAAAAUAUGAAGUUGAUACUUUCCAAUCUUGAUACAGAUUUUAUAAACCCUCCUCUCUUUUUUAAGCCCAACACAAUUAGCACUUUGAGAAUGUUGUGAAUCUGCUCUUAACUACCAAUAAAAACAGUUUAAUUAACCAGUGACAUUAACCAGGUUAAGUGCCAGGAUUCAAGUGGAUUGAAAGAAAAGCUGUUUGGAUCACUAGAACAGGAUUUUUGCCACUCUGAGGGAUCCUAAAAUGGUGUGACAAUGAGUGUGUUUAAUGGAUGUAGAUGUGCUGCUGAAAGGCACUCCUGCAACUCGGUGGGCAAGUCCCAGAGCAGAAAAUUAAAAGGGGAAAGAAAAAAAAAUCAGUUUAUUUAACAAUUUUUUUACCAAAACAGAAAGAGCUGAGUAGAGAGUCCACCAUGUUUCAGUUUGUCAUUUUGGGGGGUAUAAAUCUCUCUAAGCACUGCUGAUGUUUUACUGCCAGGCACUCCAAGUCCUGCUGCUCUGGGGACAUUUGGUGCAGACGGGGCACAGCACAACCCCUGGCUGCAGGAUGGAGGAUUUCAGCUUGGCAAAGGUUCCCAUCAGAGCAGGCAAUAAAAACACCUCACACAACUCAGCUGAAAUCCUUUGUGGCUUUGGGAUUCUGUCACCUGAAUCCAAAGGUGGAGACUGAACAAGUAAUAACAGCAAAGCCCUGUUCCAAAAAAUCAGUGUAUCCUUUGUGCAGAGGCAGAUUCCCAGUGAGUUAUUGCAGGGCUGGGGUACAGGGAAGGUGCCGAGGCACUGAACACCCACCUCCAAUACAACUCAAUAUGUCAAUGACUGAAAAAUAAAUCAAAUUACUUGGCAAAUAAAAAUGUGAUUCUGUGACUGCAAGAAAGCUGGCAUUUUCCUGGUUAUCCAAGGCUUCUCCAAGCCAGGAAGAAGAGACAUAAAUAUGUAUGGCAUCAGAAAUGGCAGCAGAAAUGUCUCUCUAUCUUUCCCAGUACAAAUUAAGUGUAAGAAAAUUACUCCUCCACAGAGGUCCCACACUAAAAUGAUGCCCUAAGCACAGCUAAGUUCAGAGACACCAACCAAAGUCAGCUCUCACAAAAUAAAAUGUAACACACCUUGGUUCAGGUAUUGACACUGCUUAAAUCUGAAUACACGUCUGUGUUUUGGUUGAGCUGCCUGUUUUUAAGUGCACCAAAUGCUUUACUUUGAGUUUCCACACAGACAUCUCAGCAUCCUUCACACUCAGGCUGCCAGGAUCACAGAAUCCUGGAUAUUGGUUCAGGACACUGCAGGCAAAAAAUUUCUGUCAAGAGUUUUGGCCUCAACCCUGUCCAGUUCCUAUUGAAUCUUAGUGGUGCCUCAAACCUCUUUAAAUCAGAAAUCGUUUUGGGCCAAUAAAGAAAUAGCAAAGCAAAGCAGAUCCAGGAAGUUCUCUCCAGGUUUUUACAUCUCCCUCUCCUCAGCACAAGCUUUUAGGGGCAACCUGCCUGCAGCUGUUUAAGUGGGGCUGAGAAACAGCACAUCCCAGCCUUUUCUUCUGUUUUUCUCCUCAAGAAGAGUCACUGCUUUUCAAACUCUUUUCCAACAACCGGAGCAGCUCCUGGGGCCAGCACUGCCAUUCUAGAGCCCUUUCAAGACAGUUCACAUUUAAUGUAAAAGCAGUAAUAGACUUUGACAUGUUAGAACUAAAUUCUAGAACUCUGAUUUUUGGAGCUCCCUGAAUGCACGGAGAUACCAAUGACUGGAAGAAAAUACAGAUGUUUUAGGAUUAAAGCUCAAGUUCUGAAAUACUGAAAAGACUGAAGGAAACAAUCUGCAUGAAAACUCAAACAUUUGUUUCUGUGAUGCAGGCACUAAGAAGUGAACAUGCAUCCCUGGAACACACUGGGUCCAUUUCUCUCAAGGGAAUGCAUUUUACACUAAAAAUACAGAAUAAACCCACAGAGCAUCAAAAGGAUCAUGAGAGACAGACAACAGAGUUUUGAAAAAAAAAAAAGAUGACAACACAUGACAUCUACAAUGUACACACACACCCUGGAAGGUUUAUAUAUGCUCUAUAUAUAUUUCAAAGUACACACAAGCUGCCCAUGUGGCAGGUUGAGAAAAUAGGAAUACAUCUUGGGAAGGUCAUGGAGGAAAAAAACCACAGAGGAAAACAGGAGUUAUUUACAUUCAAUAAUUCAGUAGCCUUUAACACCUCUAUAUACAAACAGGCUCUAUUUAUGUACAGACUGCGCCGGGAGCCGAGUGAAGUUAUUCCAAACACAAAAGAAAAAUACAAAACCCCUUGAUAAUUCACUUGAACAAGCGUUUACAGGUUGCAGAGAUUUCUCCAUUUACAAAGAAAAUACUACACAUGGAACAGAGAACUCGCAGCUUUGGGGAACCUUACAAGAGGUGUGUGUUCCCAACACACAGCCACUGGAAAAAGAGGAAUACUUGCACUGCAAGGAGGUUUAGAGGGGGUUAUAAUUGCAUUUAUCAUGCCAGACAUAUCUUAAUUAUGAAACUAGUUAACAAGACAUAAUUUAGUGGCUGUCAAGGGACAGUUAGAAAAGAAAACCCAAAAUGUGGGUUGUCAGUUCCCACAUCAACUCAAAUAUGUACCUAUAGCACAACUCCAAAAUCCACGCAGUACUGCAUGUUACAGGUGGCAUUACCCAUUCCCAGAGCCUUCUGUCCUUUCUAGGUUUUAUACCCAUUUCAGAUGUACAAAGCGUUUUGUAUUUCAUUUUUUACAAAGCAGAUCAAUACCCUACAAGCAGGAAAAUUCAGAGACCAGCCUUGCCUGGCAAUUUAUGAUGUAAUAAUUGGUCUUUUUUCCUCCCCAGGAGGAUGUUUGUCUCAUGGGCAGUGCUGCAAAGGGACACUGUUCUUACCCCAUUCCAGGGCAAUUUAUAUUCCCUUUUUCCCCAAGCUUUAUCAGCAGCUCAUGCAGGGAACAAAUACCAAAAUCCACACCCCAAGCACCAAGUAGGGAUUUUCAAGAGAGAAAAAUGUUGCUGUGGCUUGGAGGCUGCUUUAUCUUUUUUGAUGUUAACUUUCAAGAUGUCACAACAGUCCAGAGCCGUGGCUGCAGCUGUGUUAGUAAGUGGAUACAAAGCCAAGGCAGUGACGGUGCAAGGAGCAGGCAAAGAAGAGCAAGUAGAGGAAUGGAUUUCUGGAACAGGAACAGUUCCUAUGGAUAUUGGAAGCACUGCCAGCUUUUUUCCCCUCCAGGGAACACAAGUCCAUGGGAACUUUUAAAAGGUUGAAGCAAAACAGUGUGGUUUGCUCAUCAAUACAGGGACUAUCAGAUUUGCUCAUCCCAACAGUCAAAGUGAGCACACCAGGCUGAGAAGAGCACUUAGGAACUGAGUGUACUUAAAUCAUUAAUUAAAAAAAAAUUCAAAAUCACUAAUUGUGAAUCUACCGCUUCCAGAAGUAUUUUACUGAGAAUCAAGACCUAAAAUGCUAUGUCACCAUCUCAGAUGGCAGAAGGUUCUCCAGCAAACAACAAUUAAGCAGAGAGACAGGGCAGUCCACACACAGCCUGUGUGUUUGGUUGGCUGCCUGCUGCAGGACUGAUCUGUCAACACCCUCCUCAAAAUCCCAGCCCUGCUCCUGCAGUGGGUGCCAAACACAGCCCCUGGUGGGUUCAGAGCACAGAACAGCCUCCCCCUCACUCUGUGCUCCAGAGCUCAGGGCAUGGUCAGCUCCCAGCGCUGUGGCAGCGCUCAGGUCCCUGCCCUGCACACUGAGGAUCCUUCACACCCAGCACCUGCGCUCCAGGCACUGAGACAGGGGCAGCAGGCGUGGAUUUAUUCCAGAUCUGCAUUUCCAGUUAUCCCAGGCACGAGCAGGGGAUUCACCCCUCCUGAGCACUGCAGGCUGGGGCUGAGGGAAGCGGGCAAACCUUCCCUGCCAGGCAGGGCUCGGUGAGCACCCCCAGCUGCUGCUGGCACAGGGAGCGUUAGCGCAGCCCCAGAGCAGCAAUUCCAUGUGGAAAUUCAUAAGGAAUUCCAUAAGGAAAUUCAACCUCGCCUGCAACUGCAGCCCUGCUCUCCCUGACCCUGCAGCCACCCUGCUCUGGAACUGAGCCUUCCUUAAGCACACACGGAGCUGCAGACAGAGUUUAGUUCUUGCCUCGUUAGCGAGUUGAGCUGAGAGGUUCGGGCUGCAAGACAGAAGCCUGGUUAGAGCAGCCUGGAACAUGCCAAGUCCUGUCCAAUUCCAAUUGUACAGACUUGUUAGUUUUUUUGGAAUAUGGUGAUUGCCUAAACAAGACUCCACUUCUUGUUAGUACAAUAACUUUUAUUUGACAUCUACAAGAUCAUUAUCUUGUAGUUUUUUGGACAGGUUUAUACAAUCUCAAUUUUUCAAUAGUGCAACCUGUGCAAGCAAGAAAUGACAAACAUUGUCCUUCACUUUCUUAUAAACAUCUACUAUUAUAGGCAAAACAAAACUUACCCAUAUUAUAGAUAAGUGACUAUUCACAUUUGUACAUUACAAUUUCUUUUAAACAGCUCCAGAUAAACUCUACAAUGUCUUACAACAUAUUAAACAUAACAGAAACAGCACAUACAGCGGAACCCUCAAGUGUUUCCCAUUCUCUAAUUUACAGCUCAAGUAAGGUUUCAUCUUACAAGUGACAAAUUAAAUUACGUUAAUGAAGUAAAAAAUAUAAGAUUGUAUGCGAGAUGGAAGUGAAUUUGCACUUAAGUUUCCAUAACCACCUCAGAUUAAGGAAAUGCUUCAAUUUAAGGAAAACAGGCAUCCAGCCAUCUUUGCAGUACACAUUAGGAAUACCAUUAAUACAUUAAAAAUGAACUAAUUUUAAUUUAAGAUGUUUAUCACAAAAAGAACAUGUUGUAGACUCAAAUAUAUAACUCCCAGGAGAGAACCAGAAAAAAUGCAACACCUGGGUAUAAACACUAUAAAAAUGCAAUAACCAAUGCUGUACAACUAAGAUUGUGUUUCUGAAUUCCUGCCUCGUGUGUUUAUGCUGUCCAUGCCCGUUUCCAAAGACAUGCACUGUCAAACAGAAACUGGGAAGGAACCUGAAUGCAUGAUGUGCAACCUCUAGGUUUCAUGCUUUUAUAAACUCAAAUCGAAGAGAAAAACCCAAUAUAUAUUUUCUAUAUAUAUACUCAAUACAUGCAUUCGAGAUCUCCCACAGCAAUGGCAUCGAUGCACUGCGUUAAACCCUGAGCACUGUAUGACAAGAUAAAAAUAAAGCCUGCCUGGGGAUUUUCAAGCAUUUUCAAACAAAUUGUGGUUUGUAGCUUAAAAGGCCAAAAGUAAAAGCAAACAGGAAGCACUACAGAGAGCAUAAGGAAAGACAGAUGCACCACCAUAAACAGCUGCUGGCUUUCAGUUCUACCAACCUUUUUAGAUCUCUUUAUUCCCAAAGUAUUCGAGACACAACUGAACUGAAAAAGUUAUAUUUCUUUGGAAUCUGUCCCUGAUUUUUAUGCAAGUGAUAUGCUUUUACAGCCUUUUCCUCAAACACCCAAGUCAACACCUGUAGCUUGUCCUCUCAGGCGUUGUUGAGGUUGGUGAUGCUCUGGGGGUGGUGCUGCUGCCA